CAACAUUCCCUGUUCCUUCAACACUCGGACUCCUUUCCCAGCGGAAGCGCUGGCUCCUUCUCCUCGGGACCGUCCCUGGCCUCUCCAGUCCCACCUGCACAAAGGGAGAUGGAAGAAGAGGACUCAGACGCCUCUCCAGUCCUGGGAAGAAUUCCAACGUAAAUAUUACCAGUGAUGGAAAUCUGAGGGAAGGCGAGGAGGAUGAAAGACGAAUUGAGGCCCCAAAGAGUGUCCAGUUCCUCCUUAACUGCAGAGCCAUGGAAAAUUCUUUGUUCCCAACUGCUGGCUUCUUGCCUCCAGGAUCUGGGUCCUAGCGGCCAGGCGCACUCCUGCCUUGAUGCAGUCGUUCCGACACUCUCCCUGACACCUCCUGGGAAGCAAG